AAUAAACGCUGGCGGCGUGCCUAACACAUGCAAGUCGAGCGAGAAAGCUCCUUCGGGAGUUAGUAAAGCGGCGAACGGGUGAGCAACACGUGAGAAUCUACCCUUUAGUGAAGAAUACCCUCGAGAAAUCGAGGCUAAUACUGCAUACGUCCCUUCGGGGAGAAAGAUGGCCUCUUUGCUAUCGCUAAAGGAUGAGCUUGCGUACUAUUAGCUAGUUGGCGGGGUAAAGGCCCACCAAGGCAAUGAUGGUUAACCGGCCUGAGAGGGUGUACGGUCACACUGGAACUUAGACACGGUCCAGACUCCUACGGGAGGCAGCAGUGAGGAAUCUUGCGCAAUGGGCGAAAGCCUGACGCAGCGACGCCGCGUGGAGGAUGACGGUUUUCGGAUUGUAAACUCCUGUUAAGCGGGAAGAAAGCCUUGUUUCUAAUACAAGCAAGGUAUGACGGUACCGCUAGAGAAAGCACCGGCUAACUUCGUGCCAGCAGCCGCGGUAAAGUCGUCAU
rnacentral:rRNA from 1 species